GACGAACCGUGCGAACGUUGUUCGGAUUCACUGGGCUUAAAGGGCGCGUAGGCGGACUCGCAAGUCUGUGGUGAAAGCCCCCAGCUCAACUGGGGAAGUGCCGUGGAUACUGCAAGUCUGGAGGAGGGUAGGGGCAUCUGGAACGCUGGGUGGAGCGGUGAAAUGCGUUGAUAUCCAGCGGAACUCCGGUGGCGAAGGCGAGGUGCUGGACCCUUUCUGACGCUGAGGCACGAAAGCGUGGGGAGCAAAAAGG
rnacentral:rRNA from 1 species